rnacentral:tRNA from 1 species
GCCCCGUUAGCUCAAUCGGUAGAGCGUGGGACUUUUAAUCCCAAGGCUGCGGGUUCGACCCCCGCAUGGGGCG